rnacentral:tRNA from 1 species
CAAAAAGUAGUAUACAGAUUACAACUUGCUUACACCAAGUAGAAGGCCACCUAACCCUUUUUGA